GAUGAAGAACGCAGCGAAAUGCGAAAAGUAAUGUGAAUUGCAGAAUUCAGUGAACCAUCGAAUCUUUGAACGCACAUUGCGCCCGCUGGAACUCCGGCGGGCACGCCUGUCCGAGCGUCAUUUCAACCCUCAGGCCCCCCUUCGCGGGCGGGCCUGGUGUUGGGGCCCGGCCGCUACCCUGCGGCCGUCCCCUAAAUCCAGUGGCGGCCUCGCCGUGAUCCCUUGCGUAGUAAUGCACCUCGCACCGGAGAGCGCCGUGGCCACGCCGUAAAACCCCCAAUUUUCAAUGGUUGACCUCGGAUCAGGUGGGAAUACCCGCUGAACUUCAGCAUAUCAAUAAGCGGAGGA
rnacentral:misc_RNA from 1 species